CCCCUGGGACAGGACUUGAGAGCUGGACAGGGCUCCACCCAAGAGGCGGGCCACACAGAGAAAACAGCUGGGGCAGAGAAGCAGGGGAGACAUCUUUCCUCCACCAUCUGCAAGCCCAUCAGAUGGCCUCAUUACUGUUUUUCAUUAAACUUGUAGCCUCCCCUGGAACUGCUGAAUCAACCAAGAAAUCAUGCAGCACAUUUACAGGAGCUCACGCUGUUUUCAUUAACUCCCCUUAGUAUCACAGAGGAGGCUGGGUCAAGCGAGCCCUUCGCCAUGACCCGUAACUCGAAAAGUGAGCGUCUUCUUAUGAGAGCCGGCUUUGAGCAACUUACUGUGGACCGCGGAAAUGUUCCUUUUUCACCUCUGCAGAAAGCAAAGCCUGCCUUGGAAUGUAGUGGAAAUAACCCACCACAGAAGAAAUAGUCUCUGAGCCCAAGAACUUUUGCUGGGAAUUUUGGCUUUUGCUACAGCCUCCUGCUGGGAAGGAAGAAACCUUGUCUCUUUCCACCACCUCACCUCCUCUUUCCAUCCAGAGGUCACCCACCUAACUGAGACAGGAUGAAGGGGGCUGAUGGGCUGGGCCCGGUGCUCCCUGGCCUGUACCUACGCUGUCCAAAAGGAAUAUAACAUAAGCUACUCGAGUAAUUUUAAAUUUUCUAGUGGCUACAUCAAAAAAAGUAAAAAGAAACAAAUGAAAUUAAUUUCAAUAAUAUGUCUUAUCCCAAAAUAUUAUCAUGUCAACCUGCAAUCAGUAUCAAACUUAUUAACGAGGCAUUUUACUUUUUUUUUU